rnacentral:rRNA from 1 species
AGUGAACGCUGGCGGUAGGCCUAACACAUGCAAGUCGAACGGCAGCACAGUAAGAGCUUGCUCUUACGGGUGGCGAGUGGCGGACGGGUGAGGAAUACAUCGGAAUCUACUUUUUCGUGGGGGAUAACGUAGGGAAACUUACGCUAAUACCGCAUACGACCUACGGGUGAAAGCAGCGGACCUUCGGACCUUUCGCGAUUGAAUGAGCCGAUGUCGGAUUAGCUAGUUGGCGGGGUAAAGGCCCACCAAGGCGACGAUCCGUAGCUGGUCUGAGAGGAUGAUCAGCCACACUGGAACUGAGACACGGUCCAGACUCCUACGGGAGGCAGCAGUGGGGAAUAUUGGACAAUGGGCGCAAGCCUGAUCCAGCCAUACCGCGUGGGUGAAGAAGGCCUUCGGGUUGUAAAGCCCUUUUGUUGGGAAAGAAAAGCAGCAGGUUAAUACCCCGCUGUUCUGACGGUACCCAAAGAAUAAGCACCGGCUAACUUCGUG